rnacentral:misc_RNA from 1 species
GACAAUAAGAAUUUUAGCUGAUAUUGACUCUUGUUAGUUCUAUUAUUUUCUUUUGAUUUUAGUGAUAUAAAUCACUUACUGCAAUUGUGACUUCCUGUUUUGUUCUGUUAUUUCCUCGAAGGUUUGGUAAAAAGACGCUUACAGCAUCUAGAAAUUUGUUUUUGCUGAUUUACAAGGCGUAAUAUGGAAUUUCAUGCAAUUAACUUAUCGUUAUUUGCUUGUGUAGGAUUAUGUUCUUUGUAAAUUAA